rnacentral:rRNA from 1 species
AGUGAACGCUGGCGGUAGGCCUAACACAUGCAAGUCGAACGGCAGCACAGUAAGAGCUUGCUCUUACGGGUGGCGAGUGGCGGACGGGUGAGGAAUACAUCGGAAUCUACUUUUUCGUGGGGGAUAACGUAGGGAAACUUACGCUAAUACCUCAUACGACCUACGGGUGAAAUCAGGGGAUCUUCGGACCUUUCGCGAUUGAAUGAGCCGAUGUCGAAUUAGCUAGUUGGCGGGGUAAAGGCCCACCAAGGCGACGAUCCGUAGCUGGUCUGAGAGGAUGAUCAGCCACACUGGAACUGAGACACGGUCCAGACUCCUACGGGAGGCAGCAGUGGGGAAUAUUGGACAAUGGGCGCAAGCCUGAUCCAGCCAUACCGCGUGGGUGAAGAAGGCCUUCGGGUUGUAAAGCCCUUUUGUUGGGAAAGAAAAGAAGCAGGUUAAUACCCCGCUGUUCUGACGGUACCCAAAGAAUAAGCACCGGCCAACUUCGUG